UUUUUGGGGAAUGAUUAGGUUUGUCGCCAUGCUGCUAAACAACAGCAAAAUCGUCUCCAGGACCGUUUCUAAUAGAGGCUUUACUCCCAUUUCAGGACCGUACACACAGACAGCCAGAUGUUAUGUGUGGGGGUUUCAAAGGAAAUGGACCCGAGAAAAGACCGGACGGACUAAAGACCACGUGACGAGAGGUCACAUUUAGUCUUUUGCUGCACAUAUAGGCUACAGAGGGCUGCUUAGUGAAGAAGCUCACCUGCUGAUUAAUCAAUAUGGUGAGGAGUUGCGUGAAAGCAGGUUGCUCCCAAUGACAAAGCAACAAAGAAUAUUCCCCCAGUGCAGCUGUGUCCCUCACACAUCCACAAGGGGUGCUCGAGGAGAGCAGAAGCGCACCUGAACGAGCCUGGUGAGUUGUCAGUGGGAUCCUGUCGGAUCGACGGGUGGACCUGAAACCACUAUGAAUGAAGGAUGUGGUCGCUGGUAAACUGGUCUUUAGUGCGCAUCAGUGUUUUGAGGCAGAGUGCGUCGUACCAGCAGCUGUCACCGUCCUCCAGGGCCGGCUUUUGGAAGACCUUCAGUGCACACCGGAGACAACAGAUGGAGUUUGACAAGAAGCUGGCGUGAGGCAACACAAGAGGACCCGUAACAGUUGUGAACAGCAACAAAACGAUGACAAGCUGAGAACAGAGAAGAGUUUAAGUCCACUGUUGAGGUAAUUGGAAGCAGCUGAGAAAUAAUGGGGACCUCGCGGGGCGGCUGGGGCCAGAUUAGUCAAUGCAAGGUGUACUGUUGUUACACGUAUCAGGGUUUGAAACGAACUCGUUUCAGGGAGCCACAGCAUCUUUUUUAAAGCAAAUGCUGAAUUGGCUAAAUGAAUAAUAAUAGAAAGGAGAUCUGUCGAGUGGGGGAAACCAAGUGUUGGAACUAACUGAUUUAUGGAGUCUGAGUGGGGGGAGAAUAAACUGUGAGUGGGAUAUUGAAAGGCGGUCGCCAUAGAGAACUCCAGGUAUCGACCGCCGGUUAAGAGGACUGUUAGCUCCCAGUCCAAGAAUAAACUGAUAAGACGGACCGAGAUUGGAUCCGUGCGUUAGAGCAUACGGCUUUUCCAUGCUAUCUGAAACAUUCGAGUGCUGGCUGCUUCUCAUUUAUGCCCCCACCCCCCCACCCUCUCCUCCCGCCGACUCCCUCACAUCCCAUCCCAGCCAUCUCGGCAGGGACCCUGUGUUCUGUGUGCCGCGCCGACCCAGCCCUGCAGUGGACCGUGCCAUUCGAUCCACGCAGCCGAUGAUGAUUCACGCUCUGCGAUCCGGGGAGUGAGAGCAGGCAGAGGAAUCCCCCCCCCCUUCUCUCACCUUCCUCCCACCCUGCACAUCCAUAAUUCAGCAUUUGCGCCUUCGCCACACAACCCACCCCUCCCUCCUGUCUCUUUCAUCCCAUUGCUUUGGCUGCUGGCGUGCGCACCACAGCGCGGCGUCCACAAGCCCGAGUGCCCGCCGUCAGCAAUCCGGCCAUCUGGAGCUCCACGUCGAGCGGCGCAGGUAAGGCGAGAGCGAAACAAGUGCUUCUUCGUCGUUUGUGGGGCGUGAAGUAUACAUGUCGGCUGCAGGCGUCUUUUUAAGUCCUUUGGCUGAGUUGCUUCCUAAUUUACUCAUUUAGAAGAAAUGGAUUUUUGAAGUAGAGACUUGGUGAAACUGUUGCUAUGGUACCGAUGAAUGAGGAAUAAAACCUGCGCGGGGGGGUUCAUUCGAAAUUGUUGGUGCGUCAGCCAUUGGUAAAUAAUAAAAGUUGAAUUAAUGUUCCCAGGUGAGACAAUAAGCCCACCAUCCCCACCACACACACACACCAUUGUGCGAGCUACCUGAAUCCACUCAUGAGGUGAAACACCUGAGCUCAUCAUGUGAGUUCAACCGCUGGGCUGUUUGGUGGAGCUCAGAGGAAGCUGCCCUGUGCUGCUUCGCCAGACAGAGGCUCACUAACAGGAUAAAACCCUGCUGCUUUUUAUUUCAUGGUGCAUGGAAGCAUCCUGUUGCUGACUGAGGAUUUACGGUGUGCUCGGAUUAUUGAGAUCGCUGCUCUGGCUGCAAUGCAUAAAUGAUUUGAUCAGAUAUCUGUGCGUUUGGGAUCUGAAAAACACCCUCUGAAUAUGUGGCAUGUUUAUCGAUGUCCAAAAGAGGGGAAUAUAUUUUAGUGAGGUGUUAAGUCAACUAUGUAAGUACUGUUCAAACAGACGGUUACAUUUGCAGUAAGUGGGGAGAAACGACACGAGGGGAACAUUGAUUUGCCUUGUGUGUGAUUUAAAACACAACAGAUUAGAGACAUUUAAACAUUUUGAAGUUUAAACACGUCUGGUUGAGAAAUGACAUCCCAAAUAAUGAAUAUUUUAAAGCGGAUGCGUUGAGGAAAUGUUGUGCGUCUGUCUCGUCCAUGUGUGCACGUCGGCCGGAGGUUGAAAAGCAAAGUGAGGCUCGCCUGAGGCCAGUGAACUGAUUUGAUUGACAGUGCCGUACCGUUCACGCUAUUUUUGUCAUUUCCGUUUCAUGUUGCAGCAGGUGUAGAAGAGGAUAAUGACAAGAGCAACAGAAGGGAACGGGGAGAGUCAGACAAUGUGUAACAUCUCAUUCAGGCUGUCUGCACACGAGAGAGUGCCGAUGUGCCCGGAAGCCCGGGCCUGACGCAAGAUUGUCAACGCAGCUGGAUUUCAAAGGGGCUCCUUCAGAGCUGGAUUGCUGUCGAGACUCUUUUUCCAUCGACUGAGACGCGCGGGAAAGUAACUAAAACAGCGACAAAGCCGAUCCAACCACUCGCGCACAGCGAGCUUCAUAGGCCCUUCUCUUCAUAUUACGCAAUCACCCUCCACCCUCCCACGUUGCCCCACGCUGGCUCAUAUGCAUCGCUAAGGGCGGAGCUUCUCGUGCUCGUUGAUACAGGGCGAUGAAGUUCGAACGCCGAAAAGGUGCUUCGAAAUCAAACUGACGUCGUUGUCGUCACCCGAUUGAAUUCAGCUCUUGGAAACUGAACCCAGUGUGUAUUUAUAUUCACUGCAAUCGGGAAGGUAAACUAUAUAAUUAAGACUCUCGUCUUUCUGGCGACAUAUGCGGCGGUAAUUUGUAAGAGCUGAGCUGUGAUGAGCCUUUAAAGAGGUGUUUGUGCACAUUGCAUCCAGGAGAUCAGCUGUCAAUCAGUCAUUGCAAGGAGACACCGCUCGAGUUAAAAAUGUUGCUGUUUUUCUCUAUUGGGGUCAACGUCAAUAGAAAUGCUGCACAUCAUACAUUUGGAAAACACACACACAGGAUUCCCUGUGUUAUUUUAGCCAGAGUACUUUAUAAUGAGGCCUGGAUGUAAUUACACGUCCUGUUCACAUAUUCAUAGCUUAAGCACUCUUUGCUGGCUUGUUAGUGCUUUGCAGACUGAUGUGCAUUCACAGCCUCUGCUUAUGAUGACCAUGCAUUGAAAUUAAUUCAUGAACGGUUCCCAUAGACCAAUAAAAGAAGAGUGCGCCCUUGUGAGCCCACCUACUGGUUUGUUAAGAGCUGUGGUGAAGCUCAAAGCUCUAUCCCUUAUUAGAAGGGUCAUAAUGCAGUUUAAACAGGAUGUUUGAAACAACGACAUCCACUUUAUAUUCACUGACAGCUGUUUUGACAAAACAUUUUUUUUUUCCUUCGUACCGGGCUGGAAACAUGUUUGUUUCUACUGUAAAAUUGGGCACUUUAACAUGGACGCCGGGGGAAAUGAGUCACUUUUGAAGCCAGCCAGAAGUGCUGAUUUAAAGAACUGCAAUUGUCACUUCUUCGUUUGAUAAAAAUCACACGGCGGAAGCCUGUGGAUAAACAGCUGUUUGUGCCCUUUAGCCUCUUUAUAUCAGACUCCAAAGAGCAUUAUUUGCAAAUAAAUGCAUGAAAAUAGGUUUUUUGUUUACAUGUCAUCAUUUGCUGCUUUCUCAGUAGUGGAAGAGGUGUGACCACGUGAUCCUGCCGCGGUGAUAUCUUUAUGUUCGAAUGUGAUGAUGUCAUUGGUUUGGUAUUAAUUUGUCCCUUAAUCGGCUUGUUUGAGUUCAUGUGGUGUCCAUGUCACCAUGAUCUUCAGUUACUGAUGGCACCUGUGUUUGCAUAGAUCACAGAUGCAUGUGAUGUGCAUAAGCUUAAAUUCAUCAUGUGUGCAUAUAUAUAAAAUAUACAUGCUUACUAGAUAAGUAUGAGUAGAGGCAUCAUAUCUGCAUGAGUCAUACUUUUUUUUUUUUUUUGGAAGGAAAAUGUUCAAUAUUUGUACCACAAAACUGAUUCUGCUUUGCUUAAUCAGACAUUGAUAAAUGAUUAAACUUUAACCUCACACGUACGUUGUAUCCAGGCCACAAAAGGUUCAGGAAAUUUCAUUAUGAGAAUGAAAUGAUGAAACACAGAGGCUGAGGCGUCAUUCACUAAUAUUAAAGAUAAUGCCGCUCCUGUUUGAAUGGGCCUAUUAGCAUUUGGGUUUCAGAGCUAACAGGAUUGUUGCGCCUUCCAUCGAGCCGUUGAUUAAAAAUGCCUCCAGCAGAUGUGCCUGAUUAACCAGCUGCUACCUGAUAGCAGAACACAAUAAGAACAACGGCGGCAAAGCUGUGUGGUCAAAUUCAAAAAGCCGUCUGAAUGCCUUCAGACGGAACAGCAACGAGCUGCUUUUUCGCUCUCUCACAGACGUACUUCUGGAAUAACAAGUCGGACCGUCAAUAAAAACAUUCUCCGAACGCCUCUUUACUUCAUGUUGAGUCACCUGAAUAUGUGACCAACGGUUAGCGACCGUUGACCCCUCAUGACGGAGCGACGCAGAACACUCUCUUCAUCGAAUGGUCCAACCCAAUAAAGAUUGGAUUUCAAGUACUGAAUGCAAAUGAGCUCCUACAUCUUUCGAAGGAACACAUUAGGCUUCUUGAAAGUGAUGGAAAUAAGUUAUAAACAGCUCUGCAUCGCAUGGCGUCUUCAAUGCUUCGCUCGCUGUGCAGAGUGUGUCUGGGGGAGUGCCCUUUAAAAGAAUCCUUUGAUGGCAUUUCUCAAUCAUUAGUCGGCUGGAAGAAAAAAGGGAGAAGAGAUGCGUGAGAGGCGGUUCCAGGCGAAGCCGGAGACGCUGUCUUCAUUGUGAACAUCUUAAGAGCUUCAGUUAUUCACGUGUCAGUUUCCUCCUUUUAGGCUGGUAAUCAUCUCUAAGGAAUAAACACUGGCUUAUUUCACGCCGUUUUGUGAACCAAACUUGGAACAUUUAGAACGUCUAACUGUGACUUAUGACCAAUUCUUCGUUGUACUUUUCUGAUGAAUCACCCUUUAUUAUUCUGCGAUUACAUCCGCGGUGCAGCCAACAGACCUUUUGAUAUUUCCAGCCCGUAGCCUGUUUGGUGUCAUCUCAUUGAUCGUCAUUGAUUCAUUCCAAGCAGGGUGUUUACUUUGAUCAAUGGGUCUAAUGGGUAAAUACACAUUUCUCCCACUUGAGCCAGUCCACAGUAAUCUCCCCACGUGGCUGCGAGCUGAUAUGAUAUUGCUAAAAUACUAAUCUCUCAGGUCAAGAGGGUCGGUCUAUUUUCUUUCUUUCCUGUUCUUUGAUUUCCUUUCAAGCCAUUUCAUUUUUUUCUAUCUCAGUCCGGCCCUUUUUUUUUCUAAUGUGUCUGCGUGAAGAAGAUGAUUCUCCUGCACAUUUCACAGAGAGGUUGGUUAAAUUUUUGAGGUUUACUUGCUGUACAACUGCCCUGUGGUGGCACUUUGUUUCCAUUAGUGAUCUUCCAAGGGAUUCUUAAUAACAAACAGUAAUAUGCAUAAUACACAAAGAAGGGGGAUAGAGGCAUAUUUUGUUGUCUCAAGUAUGUCAACAAAGCAGCACGCAAAUAUUUUGAUCCAGUUUAUUUCAUUAACAUUUCGCCAACAGAAAAACACUGCAUUGACAGAUUGGGCUCAUCUGUAAACACACUCACCACAAAGUUGUGCCGUUUAUCUCCAGAACAAAAGCCCUCUGAGGGGCCUCCACUCAAACUGAAGUUUAACGUGUGUCAUCUGAUAAGUUAAAACAGUCCAGUUCACCAGGGAUUUUAUUAAAGCGUAAAACGUUUGGGAGGUUUCUGAUGGUUUUCCCUUCCCAAAGUACAUUUCCCUUUUUAACAUCAUUCCACCAAUUUAUUCACAGCCGCCGAUGGUGGCGGACGCAACGAGAAUAAGUAAAUAAAUGUCUAAUGCAGUUAACUCCUUUUCACCCCCUGUCACUAAUAAGGGACUCCAAAAAGAGUUGAACCAGUUCAUUGUUAUAAAAUAAAUUUAUUUUCUCAUUUAUUCUAGAUUCCGUGAUGUAAUGUUCCGUGUGCAUACAUCAUUUUUGUUGCGGCACCACAUGCAGAUUUUGGAUUCCCAAGUGGGCCGACAAAAGGAAUGUAUGCACACAUCGCCACGAAGAAAGCUCACGAGGUAGCGGAUGCAUACAUGCAAUCUAUUUUUACACGGCAGACAGGAAGCGGGGGAGCCUGUGCUACUUCACCCGGGCUCAAAGACACGCAUGCCGCCUCGACGGCGUAAGGUGAUUUUACGUACAACGCUGACACCUCAAAUGCUGCGGCGGUGAGAUAAAGUCUCCGUUUAAAUUGCCUCCAAUUUGAAAUUAGCUGUGGUUCUAAUAACAUCUUCCAUGAUUCCUUUUCCCCACAUGAGAAAAGCCAUUAUCCAGCAUCAGCACAGUACGUCGGCAUAUACUGCAGCAUAUACUGUGGCAUUUUGCUAUCAGUUCGGAGACUUUUGACAGCAUCCGGACUCCCCUUUUUUUUUUUUUUUAAAGAUUAAAAAGAACUCGUUCUGCCCCCCAAAAUGCGUCAGAGUGCAGCGAACAACAAACAGCAGCCGUUACAGUGUGUGUGACCCAAUUUUAUCAUAAUCUGCCCCGCACUGAGCCGUUCCACCAAAAGCGCCGCGGAAUAACUGCAUUUGUGAACACAGAAAUUGAAAGGCUGCCACUCUGGAAGUGCAGUGCAGAAAGUACUCGUCUUACAAAUUAUUUUCUCCGUUGUGUUGAAACAGCUGUCUUUGAAACGCGAGUGGCGAAUGUCACUGGCUUCUCAGGAAAGUGUGUUUGUGUAACGAGUUGUCGUGGGUCGAGUGUUGCCUUGACACUGUUGGAGUUGCCUUCUUUCUUUCAAGAUUUUGACAUUAACAUGAAUCUGGCUUUGUCAUUUUCUAAUAAUACACAUUUGUUUUUCCUAGAUCUCUUCGCGUUGUACGAGAUUAUGAUAAAUUAAGCUACUGAGGAGCUCUGAUUUGACAGAACACCCAUUUUAUGAGGUAGUUCCUCCCCUCCCAGUUAACAUCCUGAGAGUAUCUAAAAUCGGGGGCAUUCAAAUCGAGCUGCUAUUGACUCCAUUAGAACGAUGUCGGGGAUUACUUCAUCAUUAUUACAUUCUUUUUUUUGACAACCUCAACUCAGGUAAUUUCACAGGGCCGCUACUGCAAAUCAGCAAAAAUGGCCUGGAGUAGGUGGAGGGGGAUACAUAUUCACCGCCAGUGGCGCAGUCUUUAGCCAUGACCUAUUCUUACUGGCCAAUGGGAAAGAGAAGUGUGCCAGCAUGAUUAAUGGUCAUGAUUACCUACUCAGAAAAUGUGUUUUUCCGGCCCAGCAGCUCCACUUUUAUGACUUAAACCUGAGGGCAAGAUGGUUCAUCAUGCAGGCAAAGCUGCACACAGAGAGCGGCUGGUGAAGACCAAACAAAGGCUUCACCAUCGUCUGUCUCACACAGAGAGAGAGGAAAGCCUCGUGGAUUGUUGUUUAGACAUCUCUGUUGAAGACGUCCAUGUCCAUGAGCAUCAGCAUUUGUCUCAGGGGGUCUGCAGCUCGGCCCCCACCGAUCCCGAACUUCAGCUCACCUGUUUUCUCUGUAGAACAAAAACGGCGGCCGCGCUGCAUCCACCGAGGGCCACUUUCCAUCUGCAUGUUUUCAUGUUUGCACGCAGGUAAUACAGCCGGUGCCACUGUGGGAGCUGCUGUGUUUGUUCCAUCAUUAACCUCGAGUUAGUAUCUGUCACAAACACCGUCGCAGCCCUCAUUAUGACUCCGCAUCACUCCCCCUCCACCAAACGGCUGUGUAUCUCGCCAACGAGCCACAAAGGUUAUCCGCAAUAAAAGGUUACAGUUCCCUGUGACAUUUCCCUUGAUGACUUAUCUGAACCUCUGUCUUUGAUGAAUAUCAACCAGCUUGUUGCCACUCGGAGUUAUUCACUCGUUAAACCACAACUGUGAUCGAAUAUUUGAUCAAUGAUCAAAACCAGCAGCAGCAGCUGAUGCUUUCAACUUUAUAGCUGAGAUUUUAUGUUUAUUGUGACCUGCACCUGACGGUCAUAUUACAGUCACAUUAAUAAGAGCAAAUAACAUAUAAUACAUCAAUGCUUGGCAGUCCAGUAAUCUUCCACGUGAUUUUUUUGGCUAGGGAACAACAUUUCUUGUAGCAAACUCACCAUCAUCCAUCACUGAGCAGCUGAAAAUAUGAGAGCAGCCCAGGUUGUGCAUGCAGGGAGUUUUAAACGUGAAAAAUCUCAGUUCCUGGCUCGGUAGCCGCUGACUCACUGGUAAUCAACAACUUUACCAACCCCUGGAGAUAUAUUGUAGCCCUGAUUCUGCUACAGGAUCCUAAAGUCUUCCUCAUUGCACCUUUAACACAGUAUAAAUAUAUCAGUUAAUGUAUCUAGACAAAAUUGUGACUGGACUUUUGUAAGGCUUAAUUUAGCAAAAGGUUUUAGGCUGCAGUGACAACUUUAAUUUAGGACCCAGAAACCAGCCCGCUGUGAGAGAGUUACUGACGAUACAUUUGUCUGUGAAUAAAAGGCCACACACACCCACAGUUAUUGGGCUGUAAAGUACAGUCGACGGGAACCUCGAAUUGCCAAACCCCAAUUGAUGGAAUAGAACAUUUCAUGAAGUUCAGGUUCUUUUACUUAGAUUCAAGAAAAAUCCAUCUCGUCGGGCAUGAAGUAACGUGUUUGUUUCUGGACAACACGCGUCCAGACCCAUCAGCGUCCAGUGAGGAGCUCCCGGCAGCUACACGCAUUGUUUAGGUGUGUGUGUGUGCGUGUGUUGUUUUUGACGCAGCACAGAGAGGAAACUUCUACUACUUCACAACAAUGGCUGCUUGAGGAAAGCAUGGAUGAUACAAUCGCCCCUAUUAGACGGGAUUGACCUGGGAAAACAUUGAGAAAACAUCAGUCACAACCAACACUUCCCCAGCAGUCUCAUGGAAAUCAAUCAAAAGCACAUUUCAGAGGACCUUUGGUGACAGUGGCAGGCCAACCAUCAUCGAGGGGCAUCGGCCCGUCUGCUUUUGAAAUGAAAGCACCAGUUAUUUCCACGCACGCGCAGCCGUCCCUCCCCCUGCCGGCUGUUGCUGUGUUGCUGCGAGGAGGCCGACUGCAGCAGGUGAGCCACAGGGCCAAUUCAGUUUGGUGCCGCCAUGCAUGUGGUGCAUAGCUGCAAAAGCAAUUUGUGGUCCCACCCCAUCUCAUGCCCGAGAUUUAUUAUGGCCUGCUGUUUUUUUUUUUUUUUUUUUUUUAUAUAUCUAACUCCUUUUGAGAAAAGCAAAAGCAUUCCAGCAGUGACACUCAGCAGAAAAGCUCAGAUACCGGGGCGCUUAGACUAAAGAUUAGAGACAAGAGGUGCCCGGCUUAAAUCCUUGAACUGAAGGAAGUGAAUUGUAUGCUUUUGUGUAGGGAAUGUGUCCCCGGAAGUGCUGCUGCUCAGAGGCUUUGGGCUCUGCAGACUGUAGCAUGAAGCUGUGUAGCACAGUGGUUUUAGUGAAGAGCUUAGAAGUAUGUGUAUGUGCAGCAGCAGGUGUCUGAGUAGCUAUGCCAUCAAGCCCUCAUUACCUAGACUGUGAAAAUUGAAAAAUGUAAAUUGGAAAUAUAUUACAUGGUACUGUGAAUAAAUGUAUUUCUAAACAUGUUCUGAGUAAUAGAAAGAUAAGUUAACGGUGUGUUUUCAACCAAAAUGUUCUACGCAUUCAAAAGCAAAGGGAGUCUUGUAAAGUAGCCGUGAUGGAUUAUUCCUGAUAUGAUGCCACAAUCAUGAUCUUAUUCGCGAGUCAUACGCAGAGCCCGCCCACACAUCAUUGACUUCUAAGUACAUUCCAACAGUCCGUGUGCUUGUGAGCAUGUGUGAUAGUGAGCACGCUAAUGUGGAAAAAGGUUUACAUGUUUCUGUAAUGUAAAGGAACCACUGAAGCAUCUGUCUGUGUCUCUGUUUUAAUCAUAUCUCGUGGACCAUGAAGUUAGAGUCUGCUGUUAUGGCUCCACUGUUAUGCCUCCCAUCCCGUCACCUCCCAUCCCCAUAAAUGUGUGAAAAGUUGUAGAAAGAAAUAUACAAACAUAUGGUCCUACCCCUUUCUUCAUGAUUAACUAUAUGUGUAUUAUUGAAACUUGUUUGACAGGACCAUUAAUCCUUUUUAAUUUCAAUCCCAACCUUGGUAAUGAGGUAAUAUUUUUUGCCGUAUUGUCAAAGUUUAACAAAAGAUUAUCCGUUAUACAUCCCACGGCGGGAACAUUAGUAGCGUUACAGCUGCAAGGGGGAUAAUAUAAUAACAAGAAUAUCGGUUUAAAAAAAAAGCUAGAUAGGUCUAUAAUGAAUAAUUAAAAUUUGAAUUAUAAAACUGAAUUAAAAUGAUUACACAAAGGAAACGUUGGUAUUGGACAGUAAAACUGAUAUUGCGUACGAAUUGUCAGUUUUUGUGCGAGCGGUGCAGAGGGUGAAGCCCGACAGUAGUGACAGUAGAGAGAGUGCCGUCUCCUUCACGCUGUGGCCGAGGCCGUCUGUCACCCAACGAGCUGUUUCUAAUGACCCUGCAUGAGACGCCGCGGUGAGAACACGCGGGCGUGAGCGUACGGUGCGCUAAUUAUCGUCUAUUUCUGUGCCGUCACCAUGGCAAACGCACGUCUUUAACGUCAGCAAACAUCAUUUCGUAGCCGAGUGGUAUUAGAAUUCUCCUUCCCAUCUUACCUUGACCUCGGCGUAAAAAGUUGAAGGAUACGUGGUUUAACAGUAGUUAAGAGGUAUAAGGAAGUCAUGUUUUGAGUGUGUUGGUGUCUCUAUCCAUGGUGCUGAAACAUGCAGAUCCAGUUUCUCAGUGAGUUUCUAUCCAUGCUGCUGAAACAUGCAGGUCCGGUUUCUCAGUGAGUUUCUAUCCAUGGUGCUGAAACUUGCAGGUCAAGUUCCUCAAUGUGUUUCUAUCCAUGGUGCUGAAACACGCAGGUCCGGUUUCUCUGUGUUUCUAUCCAUGGUACUGAAACGUGUAGGUCCAGUUUCUCCCUGUGUUUCUAUCCAUGGUGCUGAAACACGCAGGUCCGGUUUCUCUGUGUUUCUAUCCAUGGUGCUGAAACGUGUAGGUCCAGUUUCUCCCUGUGUUUCUAUCCAUGGUGCUGAAACACGCAGGUCCGGUUUCUCUGUGUUUCUAUCCAUGGUGCUGAAACACGCGGGUCCAGUUUCUCCCUGUGUUUCUAUCCAUGGUACUGAAACGUGUAGGUCCAGUUUCUCCCUGUGUUUCUAUCCAUGGUGCUGAAACACGCGGGUCCGGUUUCUCAGUGAGUUUCUAUCCAUGGUACUGAAACGUGUAGGUCCAGUUUCUCCCUGUGUUUCUGUCCAUGGUGCUGAAACGUGUAGGUCCAGUUUCUCCCUGUGUCUCCGUCCCUGUGUUGAAUUAGGCUUGAGAGUCACUAAAACAACUCUUAUGUCAGAGCAAAGCAUGUUGUCAAGGCUUGUUGGAAAACUGUGUUUGUCAUGAUGGAUUUCAAAAGUCUCUUUUUCAUCAUGUGUAAAAGAUUUAAAAGAUGUUAUUGUUCUAUUAUUUGGAAAACAAUUAAGUAUGUGCAAAAAAUGUACAAAAUGUGCCUUUAUUAUGAAUAAAUAUUAACAAUACAAUGAAGGGCGCUUUCUAUCAUAUUUCCUACCAGAGGCACACUGCGACGUGAGUUAAGGGACUCAGGAUGUACCUGAGGAUGUACGCAGUGUCUCUAAGACAGAGGGUCUUUGUCAAUUUGAAUCAUUUCCAAGUUCGAUGACUGCCCCCUCAAGUCUUCCAGCCGCCUAAAUAUUUCCAAAUGUAUUACUCACAAGGCACUGCCGAUUGCAUUAGUCAUAUCUGGGCAGAUUGGAUUACGGCAAAGCCCUUUGACUUUAUCACUGUUGAUUUCCCUCAAGGCCACAGAAUGAACUUUAAUGAAUCUCCAUCUUUGACAAAACCCCUGCUGCGUGGUGCCUUAAUUUGACAUGCCACGGGCAAUGAAUGAGUCAAAAGCACAGACAUCUCAAAUGACUGAAGGUGGCAGGUUUUGACCCGAGUCGAUAAUUUCUGAUUAACUUUUGUCAAGACAAAGUCCUUCAUCAAAUAAAUUGCCAAAAGAGGUUUAGAUAUUUCAAGAAGUGACUCAGCUGAAGUGAGCUUUUUGCGGACACGUUUAACAAAGCCGGGUAUUUAGAAUAAAAGCUUCAUUCAGGACAAACCCUCUCACAAUAACUACAGUGUUAUAGUAGGAUAUAGUAGUUAGGACCCCUCUCAUCUUUUGCUGGUUGCUCGUUGCUAAUUACAUAAUUCUACUUUAUUACACUCAGUUGGCUAAGAGCAUUGCAUUGAUUCUCUGAAUGUUUGAUUAGAUCUCAGCUCUGCCCCACCUACAUAUACAUUUUCCAGGCGGCGUUGACCUAUUCUUCAACAUGAUGCAACUUCGUUGCAAUGUGAGUUAGAAUUCUUCUCGGCUGUUGCAGGGAUUAAAUCGGGGCUGCGUGAAGCAUCAAUAGCCGCCUCUUCGCUGACCUCCACACCGCACUCUGAGGUUACGUCCUAAUGGGACAAGCUUCAGUAAAUGUGUUUUAUGCUCAAAUUGCAGAUCCAAAUUUCCCAAUGAUGUAUGAUGGGAAACCGGGUAUCCUCCAUAUUUAACAUUUGUAGGUAGGUAGAACAUCAUUCUUUAGGCAUAUGAACUUGCCUUACGUUUCAAAAUAAAAUCCUAUUGGUGAAUUCCAUGCUUCCUAAAAUAGUAAAGUGUCUGAAGGCUGAUGUCACAUACAGCCAUGCUUUUCUCUUGAUAUUACAUUUGUCGACCAAUAAGCUUUUAUUCAUCAACAGUAUCAAAGCCAAAGAAGCGUGCUAACGGUUAUGUAUGUGCAUGUAUCCAAUGCGGUGUUCACGCGUCAAAAUAAAUUAUGUUUGAAGCAUGUUUGUUUUCACAGCAAAGGGAAAAUAUGAAGAGCCGUGUUGGAUUCCUAUUCAAGAAUGACUGUAUCUAUAUUUAAAUCCUAAUUCAGAGUUGAUUUGGAGUCUCUGGAGUCUCAGCUUCAUCAUCUCCAUCUUGAAACAGCUUGAGGCCAGAGACAUUAGAGACAGAUAUCUUGGAUUAGCAGCAGGCGAAGUAAAGAUGCAUUUUAAUGACUUCACGGCCGGCGUUGGCUGUGAUAAGCACUGCCCUAAGUGACUUCAGAUGUACUUACUGUAUGUUUUAACUCAGGAUGACCUACUGUCUCUCUCAUGCUCUAGUCUUGCCAAUGUAAAACUCUCCUAGUUUUUUCCCCCAUGCAGCUACUUUCCAAUCUGAUAACUUCAUGGAAAAUAAUCAUUUCACCAACUCUUGAGCCCGAGAAUGCAGAAUUGAUUAUUCUUUUUUUAGGCGCCACAUUUGUUUAUCUCAAUGGAGUGGGGACCGGUGAUGGUGACAGCAUGUCAAUUUCAAGAUCAAUUGUUGCCUCUGGCCUUUGCAUUGCAUUACCAUAGUAAUGACUUUUUGACCCUCCUUUCUAAUGUUUGAAGAUCUACAUCCGUAGUUGUGGAGACAAAAGGCGUACCUGAGCGGGAAGCGAAUUCUUCUGCACAGCACCUUUCACACAUCAACAGCAGAACGGACCGAUCCAAUGAAUGCUUAUGAACUACCGAGGCACAGAUCUGGAAAUGUCCUCCACUCACUACUGUCGAUAUUUGCAAAUGAUGUGGAGAAACUAAAUGGCCAUUCUAACUAUGGGGGCCUAAACGUUUCUACUUCAGAGAUUCCCCCCCCACCAGACUGCUGUGCUGUACUGAGCCACUGGUCCCCGAAGGACCAGUGGCUUAGUAUCUGCUGCAAAUUCUAAAAAUACUUAUAAAUUAUAUUCUUUAUUAUUACAAAACACAGAUGCAAAGAGUUACACAAUUUAAGAAAAUUACAUUUAAAUUGAAACAAUGAUUAUGAAAAGAAAAAUCUGUAAAAUGUUGUAAAACAUAAAUAUAAUCACACCCUGAUAACUUUAGGGGAAGGAUGUCGUCAGGGCCGAAUAACUGACUUAGAAUGUUUGAGAGAUUCUUCUUUGAUUCACAAAUUUGAUGAUAGAAAUUAGGUUUCCUUUGAGUGAUAAAGAAAUUAAACCAAAACUAAAAGUGCAUUUAAAGUACCUGCUUAUAUUUAUGCAACACAACUAACUGAAUGCGAGACGAGUAAAGGAACACGGCUGCUCAGCAAACCAAAGCUGGAAUCCGAUUUAAGGAGAGAUAAAUAUGGAAUGUUGAAUACGAGGGGUCUGAGGAUCGUAUGUAUCUCAUUGAUUCUGCAGCACACCCGUUUCUUUUAGAAGUAUCUUUUUAGUAUUUAGUAGUACCAGUGACGCCUCGACCAUGGUCUCGUAUUCACACCCUACAACAUUUCAUACAGUGCAUUCACGUGCUGUGGGCAUGGGAGCUUCGCUGGAAGGCAAGAGAAGUUUGUGUAGUUAAUAGGGUUAAGAAGGUGCUCUCUGAGAAUAUGGAAAGGGGCCCAAGUUAAAGAAAAUGAAAUAAAUAAAUAAGCGCCUAUUGAAAGAUGGCGGUGAGCCUGCCAUGCGAGAUGUCCCUCAGGAUGGAAACUCGCCUUCCCUGCCAGGCAGAUAUUUGGCAAUUAGAAAACUGUCAGCGAGCUUCAUUUGCUCCGAGACCAUCCCGCCCUCAAAUAACUGCACAUUCCUGGCCGGGUUGAAGUCGAAAGCUGCGUCGGCCGGCCGGGGAAGGAAUUACAUGCAGCGGACCAAGAGACGUCAACGGAAUAACGACACGUGGAAACUCGUACACAGCAGCUGGACGCAAUGGAUGCCCGCUGUCACAAUGUGGAAGACGAACAUAUCGAAAGUGUACACACAAUAUGCCAUUAGGGCUGUUUUCAAGCAUGUUGCUGGAGGUCGCGUGCGACGCGUCUGUAAUAUUUCACCCAGCGUAAAAUGGCAUCUGGUGGUUGUUAUGGCGAUGGUGGCAUCUCGAGAUCUUUCCCUUCGCUCCCAUUUGGCAGAUCAGUAACAAUCGC
ensembl:lncRNA